AUGAGGAGAAGGAAAUCACAACUGUGCCAAAAAGUGAAGAGGAAAAUGGAAACCAUCAAUGCUUUAAGCAACAUCGACAUCGCCAUAGACCAUGGUUUACAACCUCCCAGGUCAGAACUCAAAUCCACUCCGACCCAACUGCACGUGCGACAGAACCACGGUCCAUCACCAUCGCGAGCCACUGGUGAACCACCUAUGGAACUUCCACGAACUGAUGGAAGAAAAAUUGAAAAAAUAAAUGGAAGGGAAAGAAGUAGACAAACAAAGGAAGAGAGAUAA
rnacentral:lncRNA from 1 species